UACGGGGGGGGCAAGCGUUGUUCGGAAUUACUGGGCGUAAAGGGCUCGUAGGCGGCCAACUCAGUCGGACGUGAAAUCCCUCGGCUUAACCGGGGAAUGGCGUCCGAUACUGGAUGGCUUGAGUUUGGGAGAGGGAUGCGGAAUUCCAGGUGUAGCAGUGAAAUGCGUAGAGAUGUGGAGGAACACCGAUGGCGAAGGCAGGUCUCUGGGCUGACACUGACGCUCAUGCACGAAAGCGUGGGGAGCAAACAGG
rnacentral:rRNA from 1 species